rnacentral:rRNA from 1 species
UACGAAGGGGGCUAGCGUUGCUCGGAAUCACUGGGCGUAAAGGGUGCGUAGGCGGGUCUUUAAGUCAGGGGUGAAAUCCUGGAGCUCAACUCCAGAACUGCCUUUGAUACUGAGGAUCUUGAGUCCGGGAGAGGUGAGUGGAACUGCGAGUGUAGAGGUGAAAUUCGUAGAUAUUCGGAAGAACACCAGUGGCGAAGGCGGCUCACUGGCCCGGUACUGACGCUGAGGUGCGAAAGCGUGGGGAGCAAACAGG